rnacentral:rRNA from 2 species
AUGCAGUCGAGCGGACAGAUGGGAGCUUGCUCCCUGAUGUUAGCGGCGGACGGGUGAGUAACACGUGGGUAACCUGCCUGUAAGACUGGGAUAACUCCGGGAAACCGGGGCUAAUACCGGAUGGUUGUUUGAACCGCAUGGUUCAAACAUAAAAGGUGGCUUCGGCUACCACUUACAGAUGGACCCGCGGCGCAUUAGCUAGUUGGUGAGGUAACGGCUCACCAAGGCAACGAUGCGUAGCCGACCUGAGAGGGUGAUCGGCCACACUGGGACUGAGACACGGCCCAGANUCCUACGGGAGGCAGCAGUAGGGAUCUUCCGCAAUGGACGAAAGUCUGACGGAGCAACGCCGCGUGAGUGAUGAAGGUUUUCGGAUCGUAAAGCUCUGUUGUUAGGGAAGAACAAGUACCGUUCGAAUAGGGCGGNACCUUGACGGUACCUAACCAGAAAGCCACGGCUAACUACGUGCCAGCAGCCGCGGUAAUACGUAGGUGGCAAGCGUUGUCCGGAAUUAUUGGGCGUAAAGGGCUCGCAGGCGGUUUCUUAAGUCUGAUGUGAAAGCCCCCGGCUCAACCGGGGAGGGUCAUUGGAAACUGGGGAACUUGAGUGCAGAAGAGGAGAGUGGAAUUCCACGUGUAGCGGUGAAAUGCGUAGAGAUGUGGAGGAACACCAGUGGCGAAGGCGACUCUCUGGUCUGUAACUGACGCUGAGGAGCGAAAGCGUGGGGAGCGAACAGGAUUAGAUACCCUGGUAGUCCACGCCGUAAACGAUGAGUGCUAAGUGUUAGGGGGUUUCCGCCCCUUAGUGCUGCAGCUAACGCAUUAAGCACUCCGCCUGGGGAGUACGGUCGCAAGACUGAAACUCAAAGGAAUUGACGGGGGCCCGCACAAGCGGUGGAGCAUGUGGUUUAAUUCGAAGCAACGCGAAGAACCUUACCAGGUCUUGACAUCCUCUGACAAUCCUAGAGAUAGGACGUCCCCUUCGGGGGCAGAGUGACAGGUGGUGCAUGGUUGUCGUCAGCUCGUGUCGUGAGAUGUUGGGUUAAGUCCCGCAACGAGCGCAACCCUUGAUCUUAGUUGCCAGCAUUCAGUUGGGCACUCUAAGGUGACUGCCGGUGACAAACCGGAGGAAGGUGGGGAUGACGUCAAAUCAUCAUGCCCCUUAUGACCUGGGCUACACACGUGCUACAAUGGACAGAACAAAGGGCAGCGAAACCGCGAGGUUAAGCCAAUCCCACAAAUCUGUUCUCAGUUCGGAUCGCAGUCUGCAACUCGACUGCGUGAAGCUGGAAUCGCUAGUAAUCGCGGAUCAGCAUGCCGCGGUGAAUACGUUCCCGGGCCUUGUACACACCGCCCGUCACACCACGAGAGUUUGUAACACCCGAAGUCGGUGAGGUAACCUUUUAGGA